GAUGAACGCUGGCGGCGUGCCUAAUACAUGCAAGUCGAACGCUGAAGGAGGAGCUUGCUCUUCUGGAUGAGUUGCGAACGGGUGAGUAACGCGUAGGUAACCUGCCUGGUAGCGGGGGAUAACUAUUGGAAACGAUAGCUAAUACCGCAUGACAACAGUUAUUGCAUGAUAACUGUUUAAAAGGGGCAACUGCUCCACUACCAGAUGGACCUGCGUUGUAUUAGCUAGUUGGUGAGGUAACGGCUCACCAAGGCGACGAUACAUAGCCGACCUGAGAGGGGGAUCGGCCACACUGGGACUGAGACACGGCCCAGACGCCUACGGGAGGCAGCAGUAGGGAAUCUUCGGCAAUGGACGGAAGUCUGACCGAGCAACGCCGCGGGAGUGAAGAAGGUUUUCGGAUCGUAAAGCUCUGUUGUAAGAGAAGAACGAGUGUGAGAGUGGAAAGUUCACACUGUGACGGUAGCUUACCAGAAAGGGACGGCUAACUACGUG
rnacentral:rRNA from 1 species